rnacentral:rRNA from 1 species
GACGAACGCUGGCGGCGUGCUUAACACAUGCAAGUCGAACGGAAAGGCCCUGCUUUUGUGGGGUGCUCGAGUGGCGAACGGGUGAGUAACACGUGAGUAACCUGCCCUUGACUUUGGGAUAACUUCAGGAAACUGGGGCUAAUACCGGAUAGGAGCUCCUGCUGCAUGGUGGGGGUUGGAAAGUUUCGGCGGUUGGGGAUGGACUCGCGGCUUAUCAGCUUGUUGGUGGGGUAGUGGCUUACCAAGGCUUUGACGGGUAGCCGGCCUGAGAGGGUGACCGGCCACAUUGGGACUGAGAUACGGCCCAGACUCCUACGGGAGGCAGCAGUGGGGAAUAUUGCAAAAUGGGCGGAAGCCUGAUGCAGCAACGCCGCGUGAGGGAUGACGGCCUUCGGGUUGUAAACCGCUUUCGCCUGUGACGAAGCGUGAGUGACGGUAAUGGGUAAAGAAGCACCGGCUAACUACGUG